rnacentral:snRNA from 1 species
ACUCAUACCUUGCGUGGGAAAUGCCAUGUCAUAAAAGUGGUUUUCCCAGGGUGAGGUUCAUCCAUUGCACUUCAGAUAUGCUGCUGAUCCCUGUGAUUUCCCCAAAUGUGGGCAACUCAAUUGCAUAGUUUACAUUAAUGGGAAGAUUACACUUGUGAUUUCUUU